rnacentral:lncRNA from 1 species
AGCGGUCAGUGGCAUUCCUUCCAGGAGCACCACACUAGUUGGGGCUCCAGGUCUCCCACACUCGGCUCUCGCCCUGCAGAGCGCAGCUCCCCUGGGUGAUUUUCUUGCUGGCUGAGUGGCAGUCAGCACUCUGGGAGGCUGCUGGGUCAGUGUCCUAACUGAGCACUCCAGGAGCAGGGCUAUGCUGCUCCCAGGUCAGCUGCCUGUCCCCAGGAGUUUUGAUGUGUCGUGCUACCUGUGUGGGAAACUGCCUCCUCCUUCGCUGUUCCACUUGUGCCUGACAGCAGUGCAUUUGCAGAAAGGAAAACAGCACUGUCUCCUGAUGCACUCACAGAAGCGUAUCUACUCCCACCCCUGCUGAGGGUCCUCGGGAGUCGAGUCUGGACCGCCGGGGUCAUCUGCCCCAGAGUGAGGAGAACCUGACACCAGUGUCAGGAGGAGGAGGUCAGUGCUCCGGAGGAAAACACAUCUUCAAAGUAUAAGGGGAACAUUGCUGGGGUGCUUAAGUAUCCUCGUGAAUAAAGCGGGUCCCCACCCUCGAGAUUUACAGCCUAGUGGGGAUGGCAGCAUGUAAGGAACACUUGUCCGAGGGGAUGGAUUAGCAAGGGUCUGUGGAGCGGUGGGGGCUGUAGGUAGGAGGCCCAGCCUCCCAGGCAGUGCUGGGGGGAACUGGGAUGGCUGUGAGCCAGUGACACAGAUGCCUUCCCAGCCCGGGGCUCAGCAGAGAAAUCGGCCAGAGGCGAAGUCCUGAGCCUGGUGCGCUGUGUGUGGAACCAGGGCAAGAACAGGAAGGCAGUGUAGAUGUGGCCUGGAAGAUGGGCUGGGUUGUUUCCUCUCUGUGGAAUGAAUGCUCACCCCUAAGGGCACCUAGGUGACCGGCGUAGGUUACAGUCAGGAGGAGAGAACCCUGAGUUUUCCUGAGGGCUCCAACUCUAUGGGCACAGGCACUGGUGAAGAUUUUUCGGAUCCAAGCUGCGCUGAGAAGCUCCCUGGAGUAGCAGUGAAGGAUGUGUGGCAGGGUGACACACACUGUGCUGUCACUGGGACAAAAUGCCUGAGAUAAUCAACUAAGGGAAAGCUGCAACUAAGGCUGCAGCUCACAUUUCCAGAGGUUUCAGUCCUUGGUCCUCGGGACCAGUUGCUAGGGCCGAGGUAAGGUGUUCAUCAUGGCCAGAGCAUAUGGCAGGGGAGGCUGCAAACUUCACAGGGCCCAGGAAGCAGAGAGAGAGAGCCAGGAAGCGGCUGGGGUCCCGGCAUCCUGUCGAGGCCACGCCCCAAUGACCUCACUUCCUCCCACCAGCCCCCACUUCCUAAGGUUCCUGCCACCUCCCAACAGUGCCAUAGGCUGGGGACCAGGCUUUGGGGACACUUGUAAUCCAGACCGUGACAGCAGAGGUCACCUCGGUGGUCCAGGCAGGAGAUGGAAGAGGGAGGGACGUGCACAGGGCACUCAGGACUCUGGCCAGUGUCCUAGUGCUGGUGACACAUGGCAACUGGCCAGAAGGGAGCAAGCAGGAAGACCUAGCUUGAGGAUCAGGGUUCUAACUCACAAGCAAGGCCGCAGGGGACUGAUGCAAAGCAGGGGCUGGGUCUGCAGCUCCGAGGAAAGGUGGGCUGCUCUGCACACCUCCGUGCCCUCCUGGCAGGGCUUCCAGUCUGUGCCCACACUGGAGCUGGCAAGGCCUUGGCGGUCCCUUGUGCUGCCCCCACCCAGGGCCGCAGAGUAAGGGCUGCUCCCUACCUGCGGGCUGCACAUGACCGGUGUGCUCCGCACCAUGGAUCCUGUGCAGGCAGAGAGCACCAGAGUCCACCACUGAGCGCCUGGGACUCCUGUGCUGAGGUUGGAGUGGCACUCAAAGAGUGGAGGUUGGGCGCCCUCCUCCUGCUGCGCCCACCCUAGGUACCCCGGGGGUGCGGUGCUCAUGACCGUGCUGCCUGGGACCCCAGCCCUCCGUGGGCAUCGCCUUCCCAACGUGGGCAGCCCUGGGCCCAAGCUGAGCCAGCCCUCCUGUCAUCCUGAAGCAGGACUGGAGCAGCAGCUGGGGCGCCUGGGCAGUGGGCCCAGGCAGUGAGAGGAGGGGCCCAUAGGAGAGGUGCAGGGCACCCCUGAGUGCAGGCAGCAGACCAGCUGCAGGGUGGGAGGAGCUGAGGCCGAAGGGGCAGGAAGAAGGCUGCAGAGAGGCCCACGGGCUGGGCGGACGUGCUGCACUGGGAGGGCGCGACCAGGGGAGGCUGCACGGCCCACAGAGGCGGGAGAGCUGGCCCUGUGGCUGGGGAGCUCGGCCCUUUCAGAGGAGGAGCUGCCCACGGUGCACACCACCCAAGCAUGGGGGCAGGGGGACACUGCCGGAACCAGGGACCGGGCCUGGCCUUCCCCGGGAUCGUGAGUCAAGGACAGUGACCUACGUCAGCAGAGGAGGACCACGAGGCUGGCUGGGGCUACCAGUGCCGCCACACCAAGGUGCAGCAAAGGGCGGCACUUGGGGACAGAGCCAGGAAGUUCCUCAGCUCUCAGGCCUCCGUCCCUUGCCUGUGACAGGGCCCACAGAGGACCUGCAGAGGACAGAUGGCGGUGGGGAGCUGCAAGCUUGGCUGGUGCUCCGAGAGGAGUGAGGGCAGCCUGUGGAGUCGUGCUCAGCGUGCAGCCACGCGCCUCCUGUGCCCAGGGCCGGCCCAGGUCCCCGCUGUCAGGCGCAAGUCCUCCGUGCAGUGCCGUGAUGUCUGUGUGUCCCGACGUGGCCUCCCACACAGUUCACACCAUCUCAGCUUGCUCACGGCGUCCAGCGCAAAGAGAAGGCCGUGCGAGCGUCGCAGCACUUGCUCACAGGGACAGUGACGAGGAGGAAGCCUGCUGGCGCAGCACAGAAGCACUUUAUCCCAGUGUUUUCCAGCUGAAGCUGGCUGAGCCUGAGCGUGCACGGGCCGACUGCACCCUGGCUCCCGGCCCUAGCCCAGCACCUCUCGUUCUUCAGCUGCUGAUGGGGGCUGGGGACCCAGGGCUGCGGGGUCCACCUGGGAGCCCGGGACCAGGCAUCAUGUGAGCACAGGGACCCUGGCCUGGCUGAGGGAAGUGUCAAGGGCAGAGGCCCAGUGUGCAGGCUGCUUCCUGAAGCUCUGCUGUCCCCGUCAGGACUGGAACCUGCUCUGAAAUGGCUGGGAGUGGCAGGAUGGACCCCACUCAGACGGAAGGGACCGACCUUCAUAAUCAAUGCCUUGACAACCAAAGCCCGGUACUCGGUACUCAGAGGCCCCAUCUCUCCUGCCCCCAGGCCUUCCUCCUCCUCCCUCCCCGUGAGAGUCUUGGUUUCAGAGUUGGUGGGGAUCCUGGGUUCCCCAUUCCCCUCCUCUGGCCCCUGGGAGUUCUCCUUCCUGAGUCUUUCUAUUCCAGGAAACUCACACAGGGCGGGUGUGAGGCUCAGCCGGAGAGUGUGUGCUUGGCAUGCAUGAGUUCAAGCCCCAGCUGCAAACAGAAGGAAAAGAAAAUACCCAGAAACUUCAUGUAAGGGGAAUCCACCCUGUUUGUUCUGUGUUUGUGGUUGAUUAUGCUUAAUAGAGUGUCUCCAGCAUUCAUCCUUAUAGUAGCACGGCACAAUUCUAUCCGGUACAAUUCUAUCCUCCAGGGCUGUCGUGAUCCCUUAUGCGUACACGAUUUUGCGAGUUUACUCAUCCUGGGUUGGUCCCACCUUUACCACUGUGAACAUAGUGGUGCUUAUCUGUUCGGUUUCUGCUUUCACUUCUUUGGGGUGUGCCAGAGGCGAAAGUGCUGUCCUGGGACUUCACGCUUCAGUCUGGAGCCAGGAGGGUUGUGAGCGCUCCUGGUUCUAAGGCGCAGCCAGAGCCAGGAGCCUGGAGGUCAGGCUGCAGCUGAACUUCCUGCCGUGACUUAGCCCUCUGGGAAGAAGCCACAGCCCAGGUCAGCUAAAGCAGCCUCCCAGAGGGGACCCCACACUGCGUUCCCACUGCCCCGUGAGUCCCAGCAGCGGCAGGUUGGGGGGACCCCUGUGUGCACUGGCACCUCUCAGGUCCCAGCCACGCCCUGCUGGGAAUGCAGACUCUGAGGGCCCAGAGCGGCUUCCUCCCCGCAGCCCUGGUUACUCUAGUAUGCAGCCCGCUCAGACCUGCUGACCCUGUUCAGUCCUGGCAAAAGCGAGAACCCGGCCGAGGUGCAGCUCUGGGGCUCGGGUUGGAUUGCUAAGGGACAUGGUGGUAUUGAGCACAGUGAGGCCACAUUGGUCCUGAGGUGGGAGGAAAAAAUACAGGUAGAAAGGGCGAGGAAAUAAUUGUAAUGUUUGAGAAAACUGCAGCUUCCAGACAAGGUCAAAGUUAUCCAAGGUUCCAGUCCUCUCACCGAGUCCUGUUUCUUUCUUCCAGCUCCGCCCUCCUAAGUUCCUAAGAGUCUUAAGAUCAUGUUAUCCGUAAACCGGAUCUGUGUUUUUCUUCCAGUCCUAUAAAUUCACAAUUCCACGGGCUGCCACCCUUGGGGAAACAGCACCAUUUAUGGGGCACGUUGCCUCUGAACUUCACGUACAUGCUUCUAACAUGCACUCAGUACAUUGAUCUUAACUGAGGUCAUGGGGUCUGGUUUUUCUUUAGCCCACUAAUGGGUAACCUGACAGACUCAGGUAACUUAAGCAUAACUCAAAGGGUAAACAUCCCAGUCACCCAUCUCGAGGACACCCCUAGACCACACAGAUCUCCCCUGGAUCCUAAUCCUGCCAUAAUAUUUGUUUUGAAAUUUGAAUUUGUUUCCAAUACCAGUGAUAUUAGGGAACAUUGACAUAUUAGGGAGGAUUAUUAUUAAUUUUUUUGGUACCGGGGAUCAAACUCGGGUCCCUUGUGCUUGCGCAGCAGGCGGCGAAACCACUGAGCUAAAUCCCCAGCCCUAGGGAGGAUUACUGAUACAUCACACUCCGGGAUCCAUGUAUCACCCUGUCUAGAGUGCUCUCGGGGCUCCCACCCCAAGACACAGGCUUUCUUUGGAUCUUGGGAGAAGCCCCCAGAGCCCAUAACCUGCUCGCAUACCCAGCACACCAGGAAGGCGUGCUGCAGCAGCCUGCGAACCAGGGCCCAGGAAGGCUGAGGUGCUCUGGGCAAGCAAGGCACCCAGGGGUCUGUCUCAAAAGACUCUUGGAACAGACUUUCAGGGGCUCAGAGCGGUGGGCGUGGCCCUGUCCCUUCCUGAGGUGCCCAUGGGGCAUCUUUCCUGUCUGUCAUUCCCCUGCCAAGCAUUUCAUUUACUAACCACAUCCUCCUUGGCCCAAGCCCUGCACCCACCUCCACUUGCAAUCGGACUUCCAUCUUCACAAGCCAGGAGCCACAUCUACUACAGUAUUUAUUUCUUUUCUUUUAUUUUUUUGGUACCAGGGAUCGAACUCGGACCUUGAGCUUGCGAGGAAUGUGGUGGAACCACUGAGCUAAAUCCCUGGCAGUGUUUGUGUAUUUCUUAAUCAUUGAACAUGGCUGACACUCUGCUAUUAUUCUCAUUCGGUUCCGCCUUUUCCUGUGCUGCUGAUGUUGGGAUUUUGCUGUUUUUUGUUUUUGUUUGGUGGCUAGGAUGGGACCCUGGGCCCCUCCCAUGCUAAGCACGUGCUGUCACUGAGUGUGGCCCCUGGCCCCACUGGCCAAGGGCUUUGUGUGGUUUUCUGUUUUGUUUUGUGGGGCCAGGGAUCUAUCAGUGGUGGGUUUUGAAUGUUUUACUCAUUUUCACCAAAACCCUGUGGUUUUUAGCAUGUGGUUAUAUAGUGCCGUGGUUUUCAAGCAGGAGCGCGUAUCUCCUGGUGGAACCAGCCACAGAAGCCAUCCUGCUUUGUAUCAGCCUUGUAAGGAUGCUGAGGAGAUGCUGCCCAUGGAGGAUUUAGAUCUUGUCCCCUUCUGUCCUCUCCUGGCAGCCACCGGACAUAGAGCUCUCUGAUGGGGUGGUGCCUGCCACAGUGGCCAGGGGGAGGAGCAGGUGGCCACAGCACGACCCACUCCCUGCACGUGUGUGCAGUGGCCUCGGGCCACUCCGUCUGCUCUGCUGGGUCCCUGUGUCCAUGUCGCCCAGGCCCUUGCCUGCUGCCCCGUGCCAUGUGGACUCGGGUCUCGAGCUCUGUCUUCCUGAGGCUGGGCUCGGUGUGCAGCAGCCCACCUGGCUCGUGUCCUCUUCAGACAGGAAGAGUCCCUGGGUCACAAAGCACUUACCUCAGUGCAGGGGGCACCGGGCGCACCUCCCUACACCUCUGACCGCAGCGCUGCCUCUCCCGAGACCCCCACGCACAGCUGGCCUGGCCCCUGCCCUCCACCCUGAAAUCCGCUUCCGAGGUAAAAAUGACUCACUUCAAGCCCUUCGGUACUUCACGAGCACACAGGUCUGCGUGGUGUCCAUGAUACAACACAAGCCCGAACAGUUUUCUUUAUGUCUCGUCUGCGUAUUCCGCUGGCUUCAUCCACCGUACUUCACCUUUGGCUUCCCUAUUAGGAACUUGAAUUUCUGCUGUCCUGCUUAUGUGUUGUUAGGGGCUGUCUUUCACUCAUCAUCACCCCAAAGUCAGGGUCAGGCUGCCUGGUUCUAUGGGCACACUUAGAAGCCAGUGCUGAGUCAUCCAAAGACAGAACUGAAACUGAAAACGCUAACUCUGCUCUGAGCUGGCAUUCUCACAGCGGUCUGUUGGCUUUCGCUGUGUGGUUGCCUAAGAUGAGGACUCGUCCUGAGGUUUGGAUAAAACAGGGGCUGCAAAACUGUCAGCAACUUGGGGAGUUAGUGCUUUCCUGCAGAUAGUGGUUCAGCAUCAGAACAUGUUCACCUUUCGGCCGCUGAAAAUCCUCAUUUGUGAAGUCCAAGUUUCUGUUCUCUUUUCCUCUAGAACAGCAGUCAGCAAACUGCAGCCUGUGUUUAGACUGAAAAGCCUAAAAUAUUUACCAUGCUCCUCACAGUGGAGUUUGCCAGCCCCUGCUCUGGAACUCAAAGUGCCGGGUCAUUCUGUAUAAGUUAAAGAUUCUCACCGUGAUGCUGAAACGGGGCCUCAGCAGGUCGGAGCCUCCAACCCCAGGUGCAGCAUUUGGUUUGGGAUGCGAAUGUGCAGCUUUGGAAGACAACCCCACGCCCUCCAAGGGGGUCUGUGACUUCAAAACCCGAGAGUCCCUUCCCGCCGUGUUUCCCAUGCGGGCUGAGUGCAUAACUCACAGCAGCACCCUCAGCCGUGGGAGGCUGAUCUUGUCCGGCCUUGAAGGUCGUGCUGGAAUGCACUUCACCCUGCAGGGUGGGAGCGCUACACAAAGCACGAGGACUGUGGUCCUUCCCUGGGCAUCGCUCUCCUCCUUGGCUCUCAGGCCUGACUCCCCUGACCUGGUUUCCUCUGCCGCACAACCUCGCCUGGGUGCACUGAAUAGGGACCCUGCUUCAUGCCUCGAGCCUGCAUCCACAGCUUCCGGGAUCGCAGCCGGGGACCCCCACACACCUUGGCUUGACCUGAGGGGCUACUGCAGCCGGGGCCUCGGAUCCCUCCCUCCAAGCAUCUGUCUCUCUCCGCCCACUCGAGUCCCUUUUUAGCCCUGCUUUGUCAAUCAUGAUUUAUAUUUGAUCUUAUCAUCGAUGCAAUGUGGUCACCACAAAUGAGACAGUCACAGGCUGCGCAUGUGGAGAGAGUAAACAGCACCCAGAGAGAUCCUGGCUUUCAUCUCAGGGGGCCUGUGAGAACCCAGCAGAAAGAACCGGACAUCUGAACCCUGGACCACAGGUGUCAGGUGCAGCCCCUCCCCGCACUGCUGUGAAACCCAUAAGCAGAGCAUCAUCUGCCUUCCAUACAAUCUUGAAUCAAUAUAAUGCCCCAACUGGGACAUAAAAGGGAAGAAUUUAUGGUGAGUUGAUGUGCACUUCCUUGUGAAUGCCUGGUACAGCGACAGUAGAAGACAAAAUGAGGCAGGUGGACAUUCACGCCGACUUGUUCGAAAAAAAGUUUAGAUUUAAGUGAAAUAAGAUAAUAUUCAACUGACGCUUUUUAAAUUACACUUGACAUUCUGAAAGGAAGACCGCAUGAAUUUGCUUAUAUGUAAGCAGUCGCCGGUAGGGCAGCAUAGAAACAGUCAUCCUCCUGUUCCUGGUUCCCAGCGGGCCUGGCGUGGAGAAGAGAUCUUCUGACACGCACAGUCAUACUGUGUAGAGUUCCAAGGUUCAGCCUUCCCCAGAGUAACAGGCAGCUGCAUUCCUGGAAACGCAGUGACGAUCGGAGCAUGUGGCGCUUUGGACUAGGUGUUCAGCCUUCGGGGUGCUGGCAGACGUCCUACCACCCUGCGGCGCUGCCUGGUCCUGGGAGGCACAAGGCUGCUGUGCUUCCAGGCCUGGCCCCUGGGGGUACUCCCGCCCCUCCCUGUGAGGACCGAAAGGGCCUGGACGGCUGCUGCAGAUCCACAGAGAGCUCCCCAGGCCGCUGCCCCCGCCACGAGCCCCCGCACUAGCGUCCGUUAAAACGCUGGCUAUACCUGUGUCUAAUGGGAGCAGACAGUGAGUACAUACGCAGAUGGGCAAGAAUACCAAGGGGGUUUGGGCAGAAGGUGGUAAAUUGAUGGGACCCGGCUCUCUCCUGCUCCUCAGUGGGGACAGGAUGUGGGUGACAGACGCGAGGGUGAGGUCCCUGCGACCUCCCCUCUGUUCUCCUCACAGGACCCAGCACAGUCCUUAGGACACCUGUGCUAAACUUAGCACCUCGCUCUGCUGCUGCUCACGCUAGCCAACCACUCACCCCAGACAGAGGGCAACCUCCGCCGCGGGACUCCGGGCGUGCCCUGGGCUGUGGUCGCAACGAGCACACCACACAGAUGUCAGCAUGUGCGCGGUGCCUGGUACAGCCCACGACGCUGUGGACACAACACAGCAGCGUGGUCUGGGUGGCGAGGGGUCAGCGUGCCCGGACCAGCCGGGAUCCCAGAGAUGAGCUGGAGGCUGGGCACGGGAGGGGAAGCAGUGGAGCAUUUCCCACCCCUCGGGGGACCUUGGGGCUGGAAGGGGCCCAGUCCCCUCCUGCAGCAUUGUGCAUUUCCCUCGGCAAAUCUUGAAGGAAUGAACAAGCAUAGUUACUGCAACUGAACAGGCAAGUUUUAGGGCUGGGGACUUAGCUCAGUGGUUCUGCUGCCUGCCUUGCAAGUGCAAGGUCCCGAGUUUAAUCCCGGUACCAAAACAAGAAGAAAGAAUAGAUAAGUUUUGCUGGUUUUGUUUUUUGUUUUGUGGUGCUGGGGAUAUCGGAACACAGGACCUGUGCCUGCUAGGCAGACGCUCUCCCUGCUGAACUGCGCCCAGCCCCAGCCCCAGCCCGGGCCACGCUUCGUAGAUCCCUGGCGUGGUGGCCAGCAUGUGGAAAAUGCAGCAUGAAGAGCGUGACAGAAAUGUGUGAUGAGCAGCCUGGUCUACACCAGCAACGUCUGCCAACGGCCCUCUCCUGGGACAGAGGAGCAAGGGCCCAGGGAGCAGCACACCAUAGGGUCCCCAGGUCCUGGCCCCGUGCAGUGCCUCGGGCUGAGCCGCUGUUUCUCCACUCCUUCCUCCGUAGGACCAUGGCAGGUCCCCUUGACCUCCUCGUGGGCAUGGUGCUCCUGGCCAGCCCUGCGCUCGGGAUCCCGGCCUGCUCCUCCGAUGGCCAGGUGGCUCUAUUUCGUUUCCUGCAACCUCACCCAGGUCCCCCCAGGUCCUCAACACCACCAAGAGGCUCCUGCUGAGCUCCAACUACAUCGGGACGGUCACAAGCACGUCCUUCCCUUUCCUGGAGCAGCUCCAGCUGCUGGAGCUCGGGGGCCAGCUGACACCCCUGACCAUCGGGCCAGAGGCCUUCCGGAACCUGCCCACCCUCAGGAUCUUGGACCUGGGUGACAGCAAGAUGCAUGCCCUGCAUCUGGAUGCUUUCCAGGGUCUGCCCCAGCUGCUUGAACUUAGACUGUUUUCCUGUGGUCUCUCGGAUGCUGUGUUGAGAGAUGGUUAUUUCAGAAAUUUAAAUUCCUUAACCCACUUGGACCUGUCUGUAAACACGAUUAGCAGCCUUUACCUUCAUCCUUCAUUUCAAGGACUAAAUUCCUUAAAGUCUGUGGAUUUUCUUUCAACCAAAUCCCCACUCAUAUGUGAGGGUGAGCUCAGCCCACUCCAAGGGAAGACGCUGUCUCUUCUCCGCCUCAGAAUGACGAAGGUGUACAUGAGGGGCGUGGACUGGGGGAAGUGUGGGAACCCCUCCGAAGCCUGCAGCUGGAGACCCUCGACGCUUCUGAGAACGGCUGGACCGUGCCCAUCAUGGGAAACUUCAGCAACGCCAUUGAGGGGAGCAAGGUUUCCUCUUUGAUCCUUCAGUACCACAUCAUGGGGGCUGGGUUUGGCUUCCGUAACAUCAAGGAUCCCGACCGGAGCACGCUUGCAGGCCUGGCCAGAAGCUCGGUGAGGAGCCUGGAUCUCUCGAAGGGGUUCAUCUUCUCCCUGAACCCCCGGCUCUUUGAGACGCUCAAGGACUUGAAGGUCCUGAACCUUGCCCACAACAAGAUAAACAGGAUCUUAAAUGGGGCCUUUGAAGGGCUCGAUGGCCUCCAGGUCCUCAAUCUGUCAUUUAACCUCCUGGGGGAGCUGUAUAAUUCCGACUUCCGGGGGCUGCCCAGUGUAGCAUACAUUGACCUUCAGAGGAAUCACAUUGGGAUCGUUCAGGCCCAAACCUUCAGAUUCCUGGGGAACCUAGAGACCUUGGAUCUCUCGGGACAAUGCUCUUAAGACCAUGUCUUUUAUUCCGAGCAUACUUACUGUCUUUCUAGGUGGCAACAAACUGGGGACUUUGCCACAUCAAUCUCAGCGUUGACUUCAUGCAGUUAUCAGCAAACAGGCUAGAAAAUCUGGCCGAUCUCUACUUCCUCCUCCAGGUGCCUCAUCUCCACACGCUCAUCUUAAAUCAAAAUCGCCUUUCCUCCUGUCCACCAGGCCUUAGCCCUGCAGCGAGCCACAGCUUAGAAAAACUUCUCCUUGGAGAAAAUAUGCUGCAACUGGCCUGGGAAACUGGGCUCUGCUGGGAUGUUUUUAAGGGACUUUCCCGUCUCCAGGUUCUGUUUCUGAAUGAUAACUACCUUAAUUUUCUCCCACCUGGGGUAUUUAGUGAGCUGACUUCACUAAGAGGACUCAGCCUCAGCUCCAACAGGCUGACAUCUCUCCCUGCCGGCAGUUUUCAGCCAACUUGGAGUCCUUGGAUCUCUCUCUCUGAAACCAGCUCCUCUCUCCAGAUCCCAGCUUGUUUGCAUCACUGCAUUUCCUGGACAUAACCCAUAACAAGUUCAUCUGUGAGUGCGAGCUGACCACAUUUAUCAGAUGGCUCAACCAUACCAGUGUCACUCUUGAGGGGUCUCCUGAGGAUGUGUCCUGUGCAUACCCCGCCUGGCUCUCAGAUGUGCCCCUCUAUUCUCUCUCCACGGAGGGCUGUGAUGAAGAGGAAGCCUUGAAGUCUGUGCAGCUUUCUCUCUUCAUCACGUCUGCUGUCACCGUGACUCUGUUCCUCACAACUAUCCUCGUGGUCACAAAGCUCCGGGGUUUUGUUUCCUGUGCUACAAGACAGUGCAGAGCCUGGUGUUGGGCGACCGACCCCUGAGAAGAGACCCCAACACGUUCAAAUACGAUGCCUAUUUCUGCUUCAGUAGCAAAGACUUCCUCGAAUGGGUUCAGAACGCUUUGCUUAAACAGCUGGAUGCUCAGUACAGCCACCAAAACAGACUUAACCUGUGCUUCGAAGAGCGAGACUUCAUCCCCGGGAGGACCACGCCGCCAACCUCCAGGCUGCCAUCUGGAGCAGCAGGAAGGUCGUCUGCCUGGUGAGCAGGCACUUCCUCCUUGACGGCUUGGUGCCUGGAAGCCUUAGCCUACACUCAGGGCAGGUGCUGUGUCUGACCUCCAGAGCGUGCUCGUGGUGGUAGUGGUGGGGUCGCUGUCCCAGUACGAGCUGAUGAGACAUCAGGCCAUCCGAGGAUUUGUGCAGAAGCAGCAGUACUUGAGGUGGCCUCAGGAUCUCCAGGAUGUGGGCUGGUUUCUCAGUAAAACUCACUCAGCACAUACUAAAGAAAGAGAAGGGAAGGAAGGGGAGACAGCGCCAUGCAGCUGCAGAUGGUAGCCUCCACCUCCUAGCAAAAACAGCAGCGUGCGGCAUGUCCCAAGCCACAAAAGCUCUGCUCUGUAUUUGUGCCAGCUUGUCAUCUGGGGUCCUUCCGGGGGUCUCUUCCUGCUAUGAAGACAGUGACUGUGUCUUGGUUUUUCUGUCGAUACCGUGUUUUGUCUCACUGCCCUCCAAAUGGAAAAGAACAGAUCUGGAAAACUGUAGCUGCGCCUGGCAGCUCCCGCUCACUGCUGAUUUCCUCUGACCCAGCGACGCCACUGUGUCCUGCUGUAUGAUGCGCAGUGUCCCCUGCGUGGCAGGGGCACCUCGGGAAAAGUUACAGAUGGCUCCAUGCUCUCGCUGGGCUCUGUUCAGGAACUGGCUGGGCAGAGACUCCGAGUGCUCAGUGCCCCACAAACCAACAUUGAACAGUAAACCAAGGGAAGAAGGGACGUGUGUAGGAAGACGCCCUGUGACACCAGGAUCAGCAGCUGGAAUUCGUUUUGAAGCCAUUUCCCAAGUGUUUUCCACUUUGUUGCUACCUGGACACCCAAGGGACAGGCUGGUGGCGCCUCGUGGGAAGAGGGUCUGGCACGUGGUAGCUGGAGGUGAGGCUCCGGGAUGCCAACAAACUUGCCGGACGAGCACCGAGGUGCCAGCGGGGAGGGAGGGAAGGGCCGCGCUGCUCACUGUUCUGCAGGGUCCCUUCCCUGACCUGUAGUCCCCUGCUUUUGGGUCUGCGACAGGUAGCACACCAUGGCAGGCAGGUGUGCUGGAGCGAGAUGCCCACUGCAAGGCCGGAAAGCGGAGAAAAGACCGGAAAAGGAAGGGGCUUGGGUCUCGUGGAGCCCUCCGAGAGCACAGGCCAGGCCGGGCAGCACCCACGAGGUCCCGCCUCCCUGUGGCGCCACGGCGGGGACAACCCUUUUAACCCGGGCCUUGGGAGACAUCCCAGGGCCGAAGCUGACCAUCCGCAAGGCCAUCUCUUUGGGGUCAUGCUAAAACAGUGGGAGCUAAUCUAAGACGGCCUCCAGCUUACUGUAUUUGAAACAGAGACUAUUUAGAAACUUUAGAAUGCGUUAGGGCUGCUGAAAGCUUCAAAGGGAAUCUCACUCAUCACCCCAAAUACAGCCGACUUUGAAAAUUCCUUCUCAACCUCCUGCACCUACAGUGAAUAAUCUUUGAUAUAAUGUAAAAUGCAAGUGACUUAAGCUUGAAACGAUGGAAUAACACUGUUGGGAACACAGGUGAAAGCUAGAUGUCCAUCUACCACUAUAAAAAUUAUUAUAAAACGCUUAUAACAUGAAGUCCAGAAAUAACAUUCAAGUACAUACUUAGAAGACUGGAAAAGCCAGAAGAAAGAACUUCAGGAAUUGAUGGCGAUGGCCUGAAGGAGCUCUGCCCAGCUCUUCCACCGGAACGUCCAGAAAAGCUGGAGAAAUUAUUUUCGGAAUCUGUUUAAAGGCACUGGAGAGCUGCAAGGCCGUCAGCAGGGCCAAGGGCCAAGGGCAGAAGCGAGAGAGAGGAGCACAGUGCAAGUACGGCCUUCCGCCCGCAGAGGAGGAGCGUCACCGAGAGAGCGGGGGACGUUCUCUCUACACGCACUGAAAAGGAUUCCUAGCCGAUUAGGGACACAUGUCUACAAACCAAGAAGGAAAGGCAACGGAAAAGAAAAGUGGGCAAGAGGACUCAGAAUUUCACAAACGGAUAUCUAGUGUCCAGCAAGCAAAUGAAAAGGACUUUGACCAGUUUAGUCGUCAGAAAAAUGCAAAUUAAACCCCGUGUGCUGCCCCUACACACUGGUGAGCGGUUAAACAAGGGGGGCCAGCAGCAAAGAUGCAGAACAGCGCACCCUGCUGGCUAGUGGGGAGUGCGCAAUGGCGCCACCCGCCAAGGCUGACCUUGUGAUGGGGCGGUGUGUGCGCACAGGUGUAUGCUCCACAGAACCCAGCAUACCCCCAGAGGCCACAGCAAAAUGUUUGAGCAGCGUUACUGUGGUGGCCGACACUGGAAAUGCCCGCGUGUCUGUUAGCCGUAGAGUGGAUGGACGGGGUAGUUGGAAACUAUCAGAGAUGACAACCAGCUCCAGCUACGUGCAGCAGCACGAGUGACUGCACAAAAUGUUAGGCCACAGAGAUAAAGCAUCAUGAUCAUAUAUGGAGUGGCUCUGUCUUUCCAUGUUUCAGAAAGACAUAACUCACCUGUGGUGACCAUGGCGACGACGGUGGCCGUGGACAAGGAGGGCAGGGGGCUGAGGGGCUUCCGAGGGGCAGUUCUGCCCCAUUCUCCUUCCUGACUGGACGGUUGGUGACAGGUGAGCUCACUUGGUGAUGGUACAGGGUCAUCAAAAUAUACAGCGAACAUUUAGCUUAAAAAUGGGUUACAACAAAACACACACUGCCAUGGAUUCCCCUCACUUCCAACACGCUUAAUCCCAUUGUUCCCGCCACUUUCUGAAGCAGUUCUGCAAGUCCUCUGUUGCAAGUGUCUCUUCAUAGCUGCCCCAAUGUCCUGAUUUGGGUCAAAAUGUUUAUAGCAAUUUCUGUCCAAUAAAAAUAUGACACUGUGUCUUCAUCCACCUUAUCCACUGGCUCUGGCAUCGUGACUUCUGGCUCUUCCCCAAAGCCCAAAGUAAAAAUAACCCUAAAAGGGAAAAUGGAGGCAGCCAGGACAGCACAACUCAAGUCACUCAGGAAAGAGGACUCCAGAGCUGCUGCAGAAAGUGGCAGGAACAAUGGGCUAAGUGUAUCUGUAACGAGGGGAUGGAUUUUGAGGGGGGAUUUGUGGUAAAGUGUCUUUUACUGUAACACUUUUUUCCUAAUUUAAAUAUGAACUGUAAUUUUCAAUAAUAUAUCAUAUAUUUUAUCUGUAUCAAUUAAUUCAUUAACUUUUCUGUAGGGAUUUUUCUUCAAUUUAAAAAUAAAAAAUUUAAGGGCCGGGGAUUUAGCUCAGUGGUUUUGCCGCCUGUCCUGCAAGCACAAGGACCUGAGUUUGAUUCUCGGUACCAGAAAACAAACAAACAAACAACAAUAACAAAAUGUAAAAUCAGGAGAUUUGCUGUAGUUGUUAAAGGAAUAAAAGACACGUAGUGUUCUGACUUAUGUAGAAUGAGUGGGACACUCUCCCUCAGAUCCCUUAUUGUUCCUUAGGGGCUGCUCCUGGUGCACUGUCUCCCCUGCUUGGACCGAGCACCACUAGGAGGGUCAGAGGACUGUGGCUUCAUUGCCAGGCUUUGGUAUCUCCUCCUGUUUAACCGUGCAAGCGUUUCACUGGCAGUGCUCAAAACAGGCGAAAAGAAAUCGGUACUUACACAGAGUAGAAAUGGUAACUUCUGCCAGUGACAGAAGACAGAGAAUAGAGAAAACUAGCUAGAAUUUUCAAAUUAAACCACCAACAAAGGAAAUAAAACUACUUCAACAGAUGAAUAUACA